CUAGGUGGCGCAACGUCACCGCCCGCUACAGAGGGAACAGCCACUAUCCAUCCAUCCAUCCAUUCGCACCCUAUUGCUUCCCCUUAUCUCCAACGGCCAGACACUCCUGAAGCGGUCGAUGUCGACAUGGCGGCUGUACGCCUGACGCCGGACGAUAGCUUCUUCGAAGCAUGCGAAAUCCGUAGUAUUACCAACGGCCUACUUGUUGAAGAUCAAGACCCUGACGUUGAGGAGACUUUUGCACACAUGGGGGACCUGAAAUGUCCGUUUUGUGAGCAGCUGUUCCACCAUGUCCCAGGCUUGGAAGGCCACUGGAGGACGCAUCAUUGGAUAACGUGCGGGACCUGCGGAAAGAAGUUUCCAAGUUUUAAUCUCUUGGACAUUCACAUUACAGAGUCUCAUGACCCAUUCUUCGAGAUCAGGUCCAACACUAUACUACCAAGUUUCCAGUGCAUUGUGCCCGGCUGCAAGUCUUCGUUUGAAAAGUCCUUCGAGAGAACAAGCCAUCUUGUGGAGAUUCAUAGGUAUCCUGCAGAUUUUCAGUAUGUUUUAAAUGAAGAGGCCCAAGCGUCAAGUGAACUUUUGGUCAAGAUUGCAGUACCUGAUGUGGUCCGUUUCGGAAGGGAUGCGACUAAGGCAUGGGACUGUAAGAUGGCGUCUAUGGACGAACUGGUGAGAAAUAUGAGAGUGUGAGUGAGUUGAAGUGCUGCUCACCCUCAGCGUAUGGCAUCUGGCAUUGCAUGACGCGUCAGGAAACUUGGGAAGGCUGCUUCUUUAUUAAAAACUCUUCCUGGGGUC